AGAGUUUGAUCAUGGCUCAGAACGUACGCUGGCGGCACGCCUAACACAUGCAAGUCGAACGAAGUAGCAAUACUUAGUGGCAGACGGGUGAGUAACAUGUGGGUAUCUUCCCUUUGGCCUGGAAUAACACGAGGAAACUUGUGCUAAUACCGGAUAAGUCUUUACGGAGAAAGCUUUAUGCACCAUUGGAUGAGCCUGCACUUGAUUAGUUUGUUGGUAGGGUAAUGGCCUACCAAGACUGUGAUCAAUAGCUGAUUUGAGAGGAUGAUCAGCCACAUUGGGACUGAGACACGGCCCAAACUCCUACGGGAGGCAGCAGUGGGGAAUCUUGCACAAUGGAGGAAACUCUGAUGCAGCGAUGCCGCGUGAGUGAAGAAGGCCCUUGGGUUGUAAAGCUCUUUCGUCGGGGAAGAAAAUGACUGUACCCGAAUAAGAAGGUCCGGCUAACUUCGUGCCAGCAGCCGCGGUAAUACGAAGGGACCUAGCGUAGUUCGGAAUUACUGGGCCUAAAGAGUUCGUAGGUGGUUGAAAAAGGUGGUGGUGAAAUCCCAGAGCUUAACUCUGGAACUGCCAUCAAAACUUUUCAGCUAGAGUUUGAUAGAGGAAAGCAGAAUUUCUAGUGUAGAGGUGAAAUUCGUAGAUAUUAGAAAGAAUACCAAUUGCGAAGGCAGCUUUCUGGAUCAUUACUGACACUGAGGAACGAAAGCAUGGGUAGCGAAGAGGAUUAGAUACCCUCGUAGUCCAUGCCGUAAACGAUGUGUGUUAGACGUUGGAAAUUUAUUUUCAGUGUCGCAGCGAAAGCAAUAACACACCGCCUGGGGAGUACGACCGCAAGGUUAAAAC
rnacentral:rRNA from 1 species